UAAAAAAAGGUAAGCUACUAAGAGCGAAUGGUGGAUGCCUUGACUGGUAAAGGCGAUGAAGGACGUACUAGACUGCGAUAAGCUACGGGGAGCUGUCAAGAAGCUUUGAUCCGUAGAUUUCCGAAUGGGGCAACCCAAUGUAUAGAGAUAUACAUUACCUAUAUAGGAGCGAACGAGGGGAAUUGAAACAUCUUAGUACCCUCAGGAAAAGAAAUCAAUAGAGAUUGCGUCAGUAGCGGCGAGCGAAAGCGCAAGAGGGCAAACCCAGUGCUUGCACUGGGGGUUGUAGGACUGCAAUGUGCAAGAGGUAAGUUUAGCAGAACAUUCUGGAAAGUAUAGCCAUAGAGGGUGAUAGUCCCGUAUGCGAAAAACAAACCUUAGCUAGCAGUAUCCUGAGUAGGGCGGGACACGAGGAAUCCUGUCUGAAUCCGGGUCGACCACGAUCCAACCCUAAAUACUAAUACCAGAUCGAUAGUGUACAAGUACCGUGAGGGAAAGGUGAAAAGAACUGAGGUGAUCAGAGUGAAAUAGAACCUGAAACCAUUUGCUUACAAUCAUUCAGAGCCCUAUGUAGCAAUACAGGGUGAUGGACUGCCUUUUGCAUAAUGAGCCUGCGAGUUGUGGUGUCUGGCAAGGUUAAGCAAACGCGAAGCCGUAGCGAAAGCGAGUCUGAAUAGGGCGCUUAGUCAGAUGCUGCAGACCCGAAACGAAGUGAUCUAUCCAUGAGCAAGUUGAAGCUAGUGUAAGAACUAGUGGAGGACUGAACCCAUAGGCGUUGAAAAGCCCCGGGAUGACUUGUGGAUAGGGGUGAAAGGCCAAUCAAACUUCGUGAUAGCUGGUUCUCUCCGAAAUAUAUUUAGGUAUAGCGUUGUGUCGUAAUAUAAGGGGGUAGAGCACUGAAUGGGCUAGGGCAUACACCAAUGUACCAAACCCUAUCAAACUCCGAAUACCUUAUAUGUAAUCACAGCAGUCAGGCGGCGAGUGAUAAAAUCCGUCGUCAAGAGGGAAACAACCCAGACUACCAGCUAAGGUCCCUAAAUCUUACUUAAGUGGAAAACGAUGUGAAGUUACUUAAACAACCAGGAGGUUGGCUUAGAAGCAGCCAUCCUUUAAAGAAAGCGUAAUAGCUCACUGGUCUAGUGAUUUUGCGCGGAAAAUAUAACGGGGCUAAAGU
rnacentral:rRNA from 1 species